UUGACAUCCAGCGAACUUGGCAGAGAUGCCUUGGUGCCUUCGGGAACGCUGAGACAGGUGCUGCAUGGCUGUCGUCAGCUCGUGUUGUGAAAUGUUGGGUUAAGUCCGCAACGAGCGCAACCCUUAUCCUUUGUUGCCAGCGAUUCGGUCGGGAACUCAAAGGAGACUGCCGGUGAUAAACCGGAGGAAGGUGGGGAUGACGUCAAGUCAUCAUGGCCCUUACGAGUAGGGCUACACACGUGCUACAAUGGCGCAUACAAAGGGAAGCGACCUCGCGAGAGCAAGCGGACCUCAUAAAGUGCGUCGUAGUCCGGAUCGGAGUCUGCAACUCGACUCCGUGAAGUCGGAAUCGCUAGUAAUCGUGGAUCAGAAUGCCACGGUGAAUACGUUCCCGGGCCUUGUACACACCGCCCGUCACACCAUGGGAGUGGGUUGCAAAAGAAGUAGGUAGCUUAACCCUCGGGAGGGCGCUUACCACUUUGUGAUUCAUGACUGGGGUGAAGUCGUAACAAGGUAGGCGUAGCGAG
rnacentral:rRNA from 1 species